GAGGGUAUAGCUCAAGUGGUAGAGUGCAUGCUUAGCAUGCACAAGGUCUUGGGUUCAAUUCCCAGUACCUCCU
rnacentral:tRNA from 1 species